UACAGAGGGUGCGAGCGUUAAUCGGAAUUACUGGGCGUAAAGCGUGCGUAGCCGGUUUCGUAAGUCGGGUGUGAAAUCCCCGGGCUCAACCUGGGAAUUGCAUUCGAAACUGCGAGGCUAGGGUACGGAAGAGGGAAGCGGAAUUUCUGGUGUAGCGGUGAAAUGCGUAGAUAUCAGAAGGAACAUCAGUGGCGAAAGCGGCUUCCUGGUCCAGUACCGACGUUCAGGCACGAAAGCGUGGGGAGCAAACAGG
rnacentral:rRNA from 1 species